UCUAAAGUUCCUUGAAGCUCCGAAGUUCCAUGAUUUGUAUGUCCUACCUGGAGCUCAGACCAAAGAUCUACCUGAAAUGGACAGGUCAGUCUGAAAAGGAUGGAUUUGUGAGAAUGGACAGGAGCCCAAAGCCCAGAUUUUGAGAAACAAAGGCCACAAAGUUGCAAAGCUGGCUAAUGGAGGAGCUUGCCCUAGAACCUGGGUCUUCUGGGAUUUACUCACUCAGCCUGGAUUCUGCUGCCGCCAGCAAGCUAAGGACUUUGCCCCAGUAUAUAAAGGGUCAUCUGACAAUUCCUCACCCACUUGGGCUUGACCGAAGGUUUUCUUCUUUGCCCACACCUGGCUGUCUUCUAUGCCUCUCUGCCCUUCUCUCUCCUGAGAGCUGUCAGGAUUGAAAACAAACAGUGAACCCCCGGGAGCUUUGGUUGCCAAGUUAUGGAAGCCGCAGCGAUCAUUCCCUCAUGGCCAUUUGCUCAUAGAGCCAAGAACAGCCAAAUACAUCAGCUGG